UGUUCAUUUGGUGAGGGCGAAGCACCGCCCCUCUCAGGCCCGCACCAGCUCCGGGGAGGUGGCACCGGCCCGACAGCUGGGGUGCCGCGGCACUUCUGUCCUGGGCACAGACUGUGUCCCUGGGGUGACACCCGGCCUCCGCUCGCCCGAGUCCCCACAGCGCGUGCCAGCUUCAGACGCAGAAGCUGGCUGCUUCCCUCAGGUGUGCAACCAGCCCGGGUCUGGUGCCGCUCUGGUACCCAAAGCGCUGACACUGGGAAGACACAGACAGAAACGAAGGCCGGCUUGUCCUGGGCCCCUGGGCUCCGGGCGAAUCCCGCAAAGAUCGCCAGUGAUGGGUUCAUAUCACUGCGUCCUUCUUUAUCUUCCACAGGGUGCGGGGAUGCCAGGGCCCGUGGGUGCUGAGCGGGCCCUGCCUGAGCCGUGCUCCCGCCCCACGUCCCAAGCUCUCUGAAGAGCACGGAGUAGCAUCGGCGCUCACUCUCCCCUCCCUGAUCGCUGGCCCUUCCGCCCUCUCCCCUCCGACGCGUGUCUGCUGCGUGGUGAACACUCCUGCCCCAAAGGUUCAGUCUUAGACCCGAUGACGUCAGACCCGACGUGCUCUCAACCUGAUCAUGUGACGAGCCCGGGCCUCUUUCCUUCUCCCUCCCGAAUAGCUUUAAUAUCUCAUCCUUCAAAUGAGAAUAAAAAGAAUACACACAAGGCCCCAAAC
rnacentral:lncRNA from 1 species